rnacentral:rRNA from 1 species
UACGUAGGGGCUAGCGUUGUCCGGAAUCAUUGGGCGUAAAGAGCGUGUAGGCGGCCCGGUAAGUCCGCUGUAAAGUCAAAGGCUCAACCUUUGAAUGUCAGUGGAUACUGCCGGGCUAGAGUCCGGAAGAGGCGAGUGGAACUCCUGGUGUAGCGGUGGAAUGCGCAGAUAUCAGGAAGAACACCAACGGCGAAGGCAGCUCGCUGGGACGGUACUGACGCUGAGACGCGAAGCGUGGGGAGCAAACAGG